rnacentral:lncRNA from 1 species
AUGAAGUUAAUGAGCGAAAUCAUAGUUAUGAUGAUAAUUAUUUAUCCAAUGAAUUACGUUGUUCUGAUGCGACUGAAGCCAUCUGCCAGGUUUUCAACCUCAAAAAUCUUUUUUUUUUUUUCCCCGGAACAGAGAGAAGGAAAGAGACUGAAAUAUCACCAUAGCCAGGCAUGGAAGAAGAAUUGCUCAAACUGCAGAAAAGCCUGCAUUAUGUUACCUCCAACAGAAACACCUCACUUCUGGCAAUGA